rnacentral:rRNA from 1 species
GGGUCUUGGGAUAUUUGGGGUUAAGCGUCUUUGGGUUUGAAUAGUACUGGGAUGGGUGACCUCUCGGGAAGUCCAAACUCAGGAGCUU